rnacentral:rRNA from 1 species
UUACCAGUAGGCAUACACAUGCAAGUCUCUACCCGCCAGUGAGAAUGCCCUCUAGACCUCAAACAAGGCCAAAAGGAGCAGGCAUCAAGCACACAAUCCCCAAUGUAGCUCAACACGCCUUGCUAAGCCACACCCCCACGGGAAACAGCAGUGAUAAAACUUAAGCAAUAAACGAAAGUUUGACUAAGCCAUACUGGCCAACCCAGGGUUGGUAAAUUUCGUGCCAGCCACCGCGGUCAUACGAUUAACCCAAAUUAAUAACAACGGCGUAAAGAGUGUUUUAGACCCACCCGAGUACUAAAGUUAAAGUCUAACCAAGCUGUAAAAAGCCCUGGUUAAACAAAAAAUAACCAACGAAAGUAACUUUAAUUGCCUGAAGACACGACAGUUAAGACCCAAACUGGGAUUAGAUACCCCACUAUGCUUAACCGUAAACCAAAUAAUUACCAAACAAAAUUAUUCGCCAGAGUACUACAAGCCACAGCUAAAAACUCAAAGGACUUGGCGGUGCUUUAUAUCCCCCUAGAGGAGCCUGUUCUAUAACCGAUAAACCCCGAUCAACCUCACCACCCCUUGCUAAUCCAACCUAUAUACCGCCAUCCUCAGCAAACCCUGUUAAGGACUCAAAGUAAGCAAGAGAGCAACACACUAAAACGUUAGGUCAAGGUGUAGUCCAUGGGGUGGGAAGAAAUGGGCUACAUUUUCUACCCUCAUAGAACAAUUUAACGCCAACCUCAAUGAAAUGUUAACGGGCAAUGAAGCACGCACACACCGCC